rnacentral:lncRNA from 1 species
AUGGAAAAAAAAAAAUAUGUGGCCACCACCAGGUCACUUGUCUCUCAUCUACACCCUUUUUAUGUAUCGGUGCUGGUUUUCAUCCAUUUUCAUACAGCCCAACCUCUCACCUGCGCGUCUCUUAUCCACCCUCCUCUGCCAGGCUCUGUGCCCAGAAGGCUGACUUCUAGGGGCCGCCUCACUGGGCUUCCUUGUCCUCUGGCUUCUGAUUGGAUCCAGCCAAAGGGAGCCCCUGGCCAAGAUCCUGGGAGGGCAGGAGGGAGAGGUUGGAGUGUUGGUGCUCCUCUGCUCUUCAUACCUGGCGUGGCUCUGCAGGAGCUGGUUGCCCUGUGGCUGCAGCUCCAAUCAGAACCCUUUGGAACCCCACAUCAUAAUGGGCUCCCCAUCCUCCUGCUUCUGAAAACAGUCCCUUCACCCACCCCUCUUCAGCUGGCUGAGACCAUUGCCAGCGGUGCUGGAUCUCUGCAAGCUCCUUUACUCUCUUGCCUUUAUCUCGCCCCUUUAGGGCCCCCGCUAUGCUCAAAACUGCAGCUGGUUAGCACACGGCAGCCUGACCUUGGAGAGGAUAAUGUCAGAAUUCUUGUACACCAGCAUCAUGUCCCCAGCCCACCCCGAUCCAUGCACGCUGUCUCUGCCGGGCACAAGCAGAGACCCUCUCUAGGCUCCGGGAGUAGAGGCUGCCUCAUAAGGGGAAGUGAAAGUCAUGUCACUUACAGGUCAUGUCAAGUCAGCGAGGGUACAGGGCCCUUAUUCAGGGGCUGGGGCCAGGGUGGCAGUGGACACAGUGGUCCCUCUCUCAGGGUGAGGAAGCAAGACAACAGAAAUUCACCCCUCGAGCCAGGCAGCCUCGCUCUAGAAUGCCAAGUCCACAGGGAGAGAGAGAGAGUGCAGAGGAAACAAAAGUCCCAAAUGAGGGGCUUGGCACAAUGGCUUGGGCAUGGAGGAUGGCCCUCUACUGCAACGCUCACACCACCUGCAGGGUGGGGAGCCCGUCCCUCUAUUCUCACCCAUGGUCCUUCACCAGAUCCCCCUCCGCAGAGUGCACAGCAGCCUCGCAGCAACAUUCACAGGAGGCUCGAUUCAGUGUCUGAUCACGGAGGUGAAACUAUUUCUUUAUAUGAGAAAUCCAUUUUUCAGGAAUGGAAAUGCAUUCCCCUUCCCUUCCUCCUCUUUUUAUUUCUUGAUUCUUUUACUUUUUUGUUCUGA